rnacentral:rRNA from 1 species
UACGUAGGGGGCGAGCGUUGUCCGGAUUCAUUGGGCGUAAAGAGCUCGUAGGCGGUUCAGCAAGUCGGGUGUGAAACCUCCAGGCUCAACCUGGAGACGCCACCCGAUACUGCUGUGACUUGAGUCCGGUAGGGGACCACGGAAUUCCUGGUGUAGCGGUGAAAUGCGCAGAUAUCAGGAGGAACACCGGUGGCGAAGGCGGUGGUCUGGGCCGGCACUGACGCUGAGGAGCGAAAGCGUGGGGAGCGAACAGG